UUUUUGGAGAAAGUAAAAAGUAGGGUCUGCCCAGUGAGUAAUUUUAACGGCCGCAAUAUUUGUGCGAAGGUAGCAUAAUCAUUUGUCUUUUAAUUGAUGACUGGAAUGAAUGGCUGGACGGGGAUAAGCUGUCUUAUGUAUAUAUAUUUGAAAUUUACUUUUAAGUAAAAAGGCUUAAAUAUUUUAGAGGGACGAGAAGACCCUAUUGAGUUUAAUAGAAUUUAUUUAAAUUUUUCUUAAAUUUUUAUGUAAUCUAUUUAGUUGGGGAGAUUUGAUAUUAUUAACUAUAUAAGAAUUAAUAGACUUUAAGUUUUUAGGAUCCAUAUUUUAUGAGUGUUAAGGUAAAUUACCUUAGGGAUAACAGCGUAAUAUUUUUUUAGAGUUCAAAUCGAUUAAAAUGAUUACGACCUCGAUGUUGGAUUAAGGAACCUAAUUUGGAGAAGAUUUUAAUUUAGGUAGUCU
rnacentral:rRNA from 1 species